GUGACCAGCGGAGGGAUCAUUAUCGAGUUUACAACUCCCAAACCCUUAUGUGAACAUACCUACUGUUGCUUCGGCGGACUCGCCCCGGCGUCCGGACGGCCUCGCGCCGCCCGCGGCCCGGACCCAGGCGGCCGCCGGAGACCCACAAACUCUGUAUUAUCAGCAUCUUCUGAAUUCGCCGCAAGGCAAAACAAAUGAAUCAAAACUUUCAACAACGGAUCUCUUGGUUCUGGCAUCGAUGAAGAACGCAGCGAAAUGCGAUAAGUAAUGUGAAUUGCAGAAUUCAGUGAAUCAUCGAAUCUUUGAACGCACAUUGCGCCCGCCAGCAUUCUGGCGGGCAUGCCUGUUCGAGCGUCAUUUCAACCCUCGACUUCCCCUCGGGGAAAUCGGCGUUGGGGAACGGCAGCAUACCGCCGUCCCCGAAAUGGAGUGGCGGCCCGUCCGCGGCGACCUCUGCGUAGUAAUCCAACUCGCACCGGAACCCCGACGCGGCCACGCCGUAAAACACCCAACUUCUGAACGUUGACCUCGGAUCAGGUAGGAAUACCCGCUGAACUUAAGCAU
rnacentral:rRNA from 1 species